rnacentral:pre_miRNA from 1 species
GUGUGCCUCAUUCCUUGGCAUGCCGUAGAGAGCAGGCCCACAUCUGGCGCCCAACGUGGGGCCCGAUGUGGGCCUGCUCUCUACGGCAUGCCAAGGAAUGAGGCAC